GGACAGGUAAAAAAAACUAAAAGGAACCAUUAAAGAGACCUUAACAAAAUUAAGCUUAGAGAGCGGCAUAAAAGAUUGGACUAUGCUCCUGCCUUAUGCACUGUUUCAUGCAAGAAAUACUCCCUCUGUUUCUUUGUGUAACCUCACCCCCUAUGAAAUUCUCUAUGGGGCCCCUCCUCCAGUAAGGGACCUAACCCCAACUGUAAGACCUAACGAUCCCUUCCAAACCCCCUUGCUUGACAGACUUAAAGCUCUUGAAAGAACUCAGUGAUACCUGUGGAAACAGCUGGCCACUGCCUACCAACCUGGUGAAGAGGGGACUCAACAUCGAUAUCAAGUAAGAGACUUCAUCUACAUAAGAUGACAUCAGGUGUCGUUCCUGGAACCCCGCUGGACAGGACCAUACCAGGUGCUACUUAUGACACCUACAGUGGUAAAGGUAGACGGAAUCACUUCCUGGAUCCUAAUUCUCAUCUCAACCUGCGCCCUAUCCAGACUCUGGCUGGAAACCUGAAAAGACUGGUAACCCUUUCAAAUUGCAUAUUCACCAUGUGGAUAAGGCUAUAGACUCUCCCCUUGGCCACCAGUAGUCCUAACCCUCAUCAGCCCAUUCAGCAGCGAUGGCUGAUCACAAAUCCUACUAGACAAGAAGUAUCAUAUAUCUUGCAUACAGCCCCCUUAGGGACCUGGUGGCCAUCUCUCCACCCAGACAUUUGUCAGCUGGCAAUAGGUCUUUCCUAUUGGGAUAUCCCUGAUGAAGAGGAUCCCAAUAAAAUUCCAUUAAAUCCCUUCCAUACCAUAGAUAAUGGAAACAAACAUUAUGGAUGUAGGGACAUGCGAGCCAGAUGCAGGUUGGCUAGCCUAGAUUACUAUGUUUGCCCGGCGGACUAUCAAAGCCACAAAGAGCCACGGCUAUGUGGGGGAAAAGAAGACUUCUUCUGUAAAUAAUGGGGAUGUGAGCACACAGGGGCUGCCUGGUGAAACCCAAACUCCUCAUCAAAUUCAGUACACAGCAUUGGCCAUAUUACCA
rnacentral:lncRNA from 1 species